GCCGCGUGAGUGAUGAAGGUUUUCGGAUCGUAAAGCUCUGUUGUUAGGGAAGAACAAGUGCCGUUCAAAUAGGGCGGCACCUUGACGGUACCUAACCAGAAAGCCACGGCUAACUACGUGCCAGCAGCCGCGGUAAUACGUAGGUGGCAAGCGUUGUCCGGAAUUAUUGGGCGUAAAGGGCUCGCAGGCGGUUUCUUAAGUCUGAUGUGAAAGCCCCCGGCUCAACCGGGGAGGGUCAUUGGAAACUGGGGAACUUGAGUGCAGAAGAGGAGAGUGGAAUUCCACGUGUAGCGGUGAAAUGCGUAGAGAUGUGGAGGAACACCAGUGGCGAAGGCGACUCUCUGGUCUGUAACUGACGCUGAGGAGCGAAAGCGUGGGGAGCGAACAGGAUUAGAUACCCUGGUAGUCCACGCCGUAAACGAUGAGUGCUAAGUGUUAGGGGGUUUCCGCCCCUUAGUGCUGCAGCUAACGCAUUAAGCACUCCGCCUGGGGAGUACGGUCGCAAGACUGAAACUCAAAGGAAUUGACGGGGGCCCGCACAAGCGGUGGAGCAUGUGGUUUAAUUCGAAGCAACGCGAAGAACCUUACCAGGUCUUGACAUCCUCUGACAAUCCUAGAGAUAGGACGUCCCCUUCGGGGGCAGAGUGACAGGUGGUGCAUGGUUGUCGUCAGCUCGUGUCGUGAGA
rnacentral:rRNA from 2 species